AAGCGUUUCUAGCCCUUUUGAAGUUAGAAUAUCACUUAAUCUAUUGAUUUAACACACUUCUAUCCAUGAAAUCUUUCCAAAAGGUUGAUUCUUCAAGUUUCACCAAGAACACACACUAGUGUUCUUGGACUUUUGGACCUUUUCAAGCUUCUAUAUUGUAAGUACUUCUAUCCUAGAGUAUGUUAAGGCUUGAUACACUUCUUUACACCAAGAAAACACCAUUGAAACCCAAGAUCAAAGGUGUUUACGGUCCAAGAACACCUAGGACCGUAAACCCUAAUUUAGGGCCAAAGUGACCCUAGUCCCUUCACAAGCAUUGGAAACUAGUCUAGACUCAUUCCUUAAUAUGUUUAGGACUUUAAAACAUCAAAAUACCAUAUUCCAUAAGGGUUUACAGUAGUAAACCCAAAAGGAAAUGGUCUUAGGGCCGUAAAAUCCUCAAAGGAGGGAAAUGGUGCCCUAAUCUCUUCCAAAGGCUUAACCAUCAAGUAGAAAUGCUUCUAAAGGACUUGUAGGGCUUCAAAACAAAACAUGGUCAAAGGAGUAUGAGUUUACGACCAUAAAGUCAUGAGUUUACGACUGUAAACUCAAUGAGUGAUGGUCACAAAACCGUAAACUCAUUUAAGGGAUUUCCUUGAACCCAAAACUCAAUAGCAAUGUCCUACAACACUUAGAUGCAACCCUUGGGACUUAUAACACUUAUAUAAGGUGUUUAGCAUGUCAUAGGAUGUCUUAAUUUUGUUGAUUAGUUGUUUAAAGACUAAUUGGAUACAUAUAUGUGUCAUAAUAAGUAACUACGAUCCUUGUGUGUGCUCAAGUCUUCACUUGACACCUAGCAAUCCUGUUUCAUCAGUUCAUUCAUACCACUCACUACAGGUGAGUUCAUACCCCUUAAAUUGACCUUUUAAAUGUUUUUAAAUGCUUUUAUGGGGGGAUACAAGUUGAAUAAUUAUAGUUAUUUUAUCAAUCACAUGUGAUUAAUAACUACCAAACAAGUGGUUUUCUNAAUAGCUACCAAACAAGUUGUUUUUCUUACUUUUUAAACUGUGUUAUCAAACUGUUUUGUUUCAAACUAUUUUACAAACUCUUCUAUUGUCAAACACCUUUUACUUAAACUCUUUUUAUACUUUUAUUGUCAAAUGCAUGCCUAUGGAUGUAUAGUUAUAUAAGUAAUGUCUAAAGGACUUAGGAAGGCUAGCUCGCUUUAUCUCCUUUUGCUCGUUGGGAUGUGGCUUUAGGGCAUCGGUUAUCCGUACGAAGGUCGUAUAAAUACUAGUUAUAUAUUAUGUAUACAUAUAUAGACAUAAAAGUUCUAUCAGUCAAUUCAAUACCCUUGGGUAGCAAGGGUAUACGUUCAUGUUCAUACAUACAGGUCAUAUUACUAGUAAACUACGAAAGGCGUAGUUUAGGAAGUUACUACUACUAUUACUAGAACGAAGAAUCAUACAAUGAGUCAGUUCAUUCAUGAGUCAAUACUUGCUAGAUAGAUAGAGAGAGAGAGAGCACAAUACAGCUAGUACACACAAUACAUUGCUAUACAUGCUAGAUAGAGAAAGAACACACAUUACAGUUAGUACACGCAGAACAUAACAAUACACAUAGGCUAGACAGAGAAAGAACACACAAUGCAACUAGCACAUACAUUACAUAUACAUUCAUGCAGUUAUGUGAGCCAUUAAACGGGGCAUGACACUACCUGCCAUGACCGUUUUUGUAUUCAGAACCUCCUUAAUUAGGGAGCAUAUGAGUUUGCGUAUAGAUCUAUACGGGAUUGACUAUCCUACACCUUGCUGCUCGCAACAGUGGGACUUGCAAGUCUAUGGGUGCCAAAUGUCAUUUCUUACGGCGUCUUACAUCGUCGUUUUCUAGAGUCGUUGACAUGAUACAGGCCGAUCACAUGUUACUUUAAAUUACAAUUGGUUUAAGGUAGUUAGUACAACAGUGGUUACUUAUUACAAUACUAUAGUACUAUAUUAUUUCCCCAUUACAUUCACUUCGUGAACAUUCAGACGACACACGGUAAUGUAAAAACUAUAUUUUUGGUUAAUGAUAGUCGGAUUUAGGAAAAUACACACUCUUACAUGAGACACACACAGAUACUAGAUGCCUUGGUAGAAUUCUAAUAUUAGUAGGAAACAUAGGGUUUUCUAGGAGAGUUCAAAACAUCCUACAAAACAUCUUACAAAUACUUUCAUACAAAUACAGACACUAAUAUACUUAUGAUCUCACCAGCUUUAAAGCUGAUACUCGCUUUCAAAAUAACUUGUAUUCUCAGGUCACCAGUAGACAGGUACAGGUGCCAGUUUUUGAGAAGAUGGAGUUCGUUCAAGACUUGUAUUUUAUUUUGAUAUGUAUUUUUGGUGUCUAUAUAACUUGACAAAACACAUUGUAUGAAAUUAUAUUAUUAAUGUAAUGGAUGAUGUUGUUGCUUGUUUACUACUAUUUAGUGUUGUGAUAAUAUACAUGACGUCCUCCGCCCCAGAACGUUUCCGCCGUUCAUGGUUUUGGGGUGUGACAGAUUGGUAUCAGAGCACUGUUUAUAGUGAAUUGAGUAUAUCAACCCAUAAAAGAUAUACUAACUAUAAAUACAAUGGGAUUAAAAUACUCUGACCUAGAGUUUAUACUUUAAAUAAUAAAAUAUUUAAUUAAUUAUACGUGCCUGCAUUCAUAUUAAAAUCUGUGUCACUAAGACAGUACAAAAGUAUUACGAUUGUUGGGCAACACAAGUAGACUUAGAGACAUAUAGUCAAAACUGGGAAGAUAUAGCCUGAUUAACUAUAUUAUCCGGGGGUUGACUAGCAUGUGCCUAAGUGUGGUUGUGAGGUUGCAACAAGUCUAAAAACUUACCCACAAUACCACAAUGAGAACAAUAGAACUUAAACCUAAAAUAAUAUAGGAGUAUUUUGUAUUACUAUAAGUUACUUAUGUGCUACAUUCUUAUACCUCUCUUCUCGCGUAGAUAUAAUGGCUGGAUUCCACCUUCCCGGAGACCCGUACUACCCCAACCACGACAAUGCAGGAUGGCUGGAAGUAGAACCAGAAGUUGAUCACCCAAUCCCUUUGGAUGAUUAUGAAGCUGAAGGCUUUUCUGAUGGUUCUGACUCGGAGCCAGAAGUUAACAACCUACCCCCAGCUGAUCAAAACCCAAACCCUCGCCCAACAUUUCAAGGACCCACACCUCUGUGGGCCACAAACUUGAAUAGAUGGAGUCAGGAACAAGGUCAACCUAUCCCCUACAACGGAGACAGAAGCUUCUACAACCUUACUGAGGGAGGUUCUGCUGACAGAGUCCUACCCAUUGUAGUUCGUAGGAUUGUUCGGAACACAAAGCAGGGACGAGCGGCUAUCAGUCGAGUCGUAGAGAUUGACGCCAACUCUGGUGUUAACACAGUCCGCAUUCGCCAGCUAGAGUCUGCUCAUGAAAGUACUCUGGUCCACAAUGCAGCUCUUUAGAGGGAACUCGCUGAAACCCAAGAUGAAGUCAGGGAACUUCAAGCUCAGCAAGCAAGAUCUGAUAGGCGCAUGAGGGACAUAGAACGUCUUCUGUCGGGAUCAAGAACUCACUCUGGUAGUUCUCGUUGCCGAUAGAUUCUCAUCAACUUCUCUCUUUUAGAUAUAAUCUAGUUAUGUAAAACUCUGGUCUAAUUCCCUAUCUUUGUAAAUAAUAGGCCUGUUAGGUCUUGGUUAGGUUGUAAUUCUGUCAAAAUUUUCCCAUUUUGGUUGAUGUAAGGUCUACUUCUAGGCCAUUUUUCCCAAACUUGUUACAUCUGUAAUUCCAGUAAUAUUGACAAGUACCUAAUCUCAUGGAAAUUAUUAUCCAAAUGUGAUCAUCUAUUAGUUCUAGAUCUACAUUAAAUCAUACUGUUGGGCUAUAAACAGUUAGUCCAUGAGUCAUUCUCAUCAAUUCUUCCAUUAAAUUCUUAUCAAUGUUUUUGUCUUCGUAAACUUAUAGAUCAAAGAUGUCGCCUCGCGGAAAUCCAAGGCGUAACCCUAAUAACGAAACACCACCACCUCCUCCACCCCCUUAACCACCUACUCCUCAGUUCGACACGACAACCCUAAAUGCUGCUGUAGCUGCAGUUGUGGCUACAACCAUGGCUCAAUAUCAUUCAUCCGGUUCCACUGGAGGAGGAACCCCAGUCCUGUCUACUCAUGGUGAAAUCCCUGUGCGCUUGAAAGAGUGCUCCUACAAGGACUUCACCAACUGCAAGCCCUUGUCCUUCAAAGGGACUGGCGGAGUCAUUGCCUUCUCUUAAUGGUUCAAGAAAAUCGAAUCGGUUUUCGAAAUCUGCUCCUGUCCGGAGGAGAGCAAGGUCAAGUUUGCUGCUUGCACCUUUGAAACAAAAGCCCUAACAUGAUGGAAUAGCCAUGUUAAGUCACUAUCUCUCAUAGUGGCUAAUUCUAUGGGCUGGGAAACUUUGAAAGACCUCAUGAUUGAGGAGUACUACCCGAGGGGCGAGAUCCAGAAGCUAGAGGAAGAACUGUGGAGCCUAACCAUGAAGGGCUCCAACGUAUUCGCCUACACCGCCAGAUUCUGUGAACUGGUGGCCCUCUGUCCCAACAUGGUUCAUACAGAGGGAAAGAAAAUCAAGAGGUAUAUAUGGAUGAUGCCACCAUAAUAGGGAAAUGUAUUGGCAUAACAACCCACUACAUUUGAUAGUGCCAAACGAUUGGCACAACGGCUCAUAGACCAUGGGGUUCGUAUCCCGGCCACAUCAACAACCCUGGCCAUCUUAGAACCUUCCAAAACCGCUGACCCCAAGCGGAAGUUUUGGGAGGACAAAAAGAAGGCGAAGGCUGCCAAGAAACAGCAGGUUGUGGCAAUUCAUGCUGCGAUAGCACCUGCCGCUGCUGCUCCGGUAAAGUAGUAUGCUGGAAGUUUGCCCAAGUGCAACAAAUGCAACUUCCAUCACGUUGGUGCCUGCUGGGAAAUGCAGUGUCUGAACUGCAAUGGGAAGGGGAACACUGCCCGUUUCUAUAAAGCUCCGGCAAAGCCAAUCAACCAAUCCCCUAGUGCUGGAGUGGGCCAAACUUGCUACGGAUGUGGCGAGGUAGGCCACUUCAAAAGGAACUGCCCGAAGGCAGGGUUUUCCAGUGGAGUGACAAGAGUUUUGGCCAUAGGCCAUGAGGAAGCGGUUGCCGACCCCACAGUGGUCACUGGUACGUUUCUCCUAGAUAACUCUUAUGCAUGCAUUCUAUUUGAUAGUGAAGCGGAGAGGAGUUUCGUGAACCAAAAAUUUGCUCAUUUACUUAAGCAAAAAUCACGAGCACUUAAAGAACCGUUCACUGUAGAAAUGGCUAAUGGAAAGAUAGAGAGCACCAGUAGUAUAUUCAUAGGGUGUACCCUAACAUUAGAUAGCCAUUCAUUUUUGAUCGAUCUCAUGCCGGUCUCAAUUAAAAGUUUCGACGUCAUUAUCGGCAUGGAUUGGUUGAGUUUUCAUCGUGCCGACAUCAUGUGUUACGAAAAGGUUGUUCGCCUUAAUCUGCUGUCUACCGAAACCCUAGUAGUUUAUGGCAACAAACCCGACAUGAACCUUCGUAUAAUCUCGAGCAUUCAAGCUUAGAAAUUCUUGUGAAAGGAAUGUCGAGCAUUCCUUGCUCAUGUGGUCGAUGUGAGCCAAGAAACGAAGGACAUUCAGAACCUUCCAGUGGUACGCGACUUUCCCGACAUCUUUCCAGAAGAACUCCCAGGAGUACCUCCACAACGUCAAGUCGAGUUCCGAAUCGACUAGUUCCAGGGGCUACCCCCGUAGCCAAAUCGCCCUAUCGUCUAGCACCUGCAGAGAUGCAAGAACUAUCCUGUCAACUUAACGAACUGCUCAGCAAGGGCUUUAUAAGACCAAGCUUCUCACCCUGGGGAGCUCCAGUCUUGUUCGUCAAGAAGAAAGACGGAUCGUUUCGUAUGUGCAUCGACUACAGGGAGCUCAACAAAUUGACCAUUAAAAUCGUUAUCCGUUGCCUCAUAUCGACGAUUUAUUUGACCAACUUCAAGGGACGAACUUCUUUUCAAAAAUCGACUUAAGAUCCGGAUAUCACCAACUACGAGUGCUAGGGGACGAUGUUCCAAAGACAGCCUCCCGAACUCGUUAUGGGCACUACGAAUUUGUAGUGAUGCCAUUCGGACUAACAAAUGCGCCCGCUGUAUUCAUGAACUUAAUGAAUAGGGUGUGUCGUCCUUACUUGGAUCAGUUCAUCAUCGUCUUCAUCGAUGACAUACUUAUCUACUCUCGUAGUAAGGAGGAGCAUAGUCAACAUCUGCAUCAAGUCUUAGAUACAUUACGUUCAGAGAAGCUCUACGCGAAGUUCUCGAAAUGCGAAUUUUGGAUUCGACGAGUCGAAUUCUUAGGGCACGUAGUUAGCAAAGAGGGAAUACACGUGGACCCUUCCAAAAUCAAAUCCAUUGAGAACUGGUCAGCACCAAAGACGCCUACAGAAAUUUGACAAUUUCUAGGCCACGCUGGCUACUAUCGCAGGUUCAUUCAGAACUUCUCUCACAUUGCGAAACCUCUUACAACACUGAACCAUAAGGCGUGGCCUUUGACUGGGAAGAGAAGCAGGAAAGAGCAUUUCAAACACUCAAACGAGCGUUGUGCACCCCACCAAUACUAUCCCUCCCCGAAGGAAUAGAAGACUUCGUUGUCUAUUGCGAUGCGUCGAAUCAAGGACUCAGAUGUGUCAUGAUGCAACGAGGUAAGGUCAUCACCUAUGCCUCGAGACAGCUGAAGACACAUGAGGUCAACUACACGUCCCACGAUCUUGAACAGGGAGCAGUUGUGUUUGCUCUGAAGAUCUGGAGACAUUACCUGUACGGUACGAAAAGCACUAUCUUUAUAGACCACAAAAGCCUACAACACAUAUUCGACCAGAAGGAGCUCAACAUGAGACAACGACGGUGGGUCGAGCUACUCAUUGAUUAUGAAUGUGAAAUUCGUUAUCAUCCGGUUAAAGCCAAUGUAGUAGCUGACGCCUUAAGUCGGAAAGAAUAUUUUGGUCGUAGAGUCAAAUCAUUGACUAUGACUAUCCAUUCACACUUGUCCACACAAAUUAAGGCGGCCCAGCUCGACGCUUUGAAGCCUGAAAAUGUGGUGGGUGAAUCCCUGAGAGGGAUGGAUAAGAACUUGGAGGUUAAGGGUGGCGGAGCUUAUUAUUUCAUGGGACAGAUCUGGACCCUGAAACUCGAUGGUUUCAGAGACUUGGUCAUGAACGAGGUGCACAACACUUGUUAUUCUGUGCACCUGGGUUCAGAUAAGAUGUAUCUAGAUCUUAAAAAGUUAUACUGGUGGGCUAACAUGAAAGCAGAGAUUGCUACCUUCGUGAGUAAAUGCCUUACUUGCGCAAAGGUCAAGGUCGAAUACCAGAAACCUUCCGGUCUACUACAACAACCUGAGAUACCUGAAUGGAAGUGGGAGCGGAUCACUAUGGAUUUCAUAACCAAGUUGCCCAAGACAACAGGUGUACUUGAUACCAUAUGGGUCAUCGUCGACAGAUUGACGAAGUCUGCACACUUCCUGCCUAUCAAGGAAACAAACAAGAUGGAGAAACUUACAAGAACUUACAUUAGAGAGAUUGUACGGCUGCACGGUGUUCCCUUAUCCAUUAUCUCAGACAGAGAUAGUAGAUUCACUUUGAGGUUCUGGCAGUCGUUGCAAAGUUUCUUAGGAACUAGGUUGGACAUGAGUACAGCCUACCAUCCACAGAUCGACGGGAAAAGUGAGAGAACUAUCCAAACCUUGGAAGAUAUGUUGCGAGCCUGUGUGAUCGACUUUGGGAAAGCAUGGGAUACUCAUUUACCCCUUGGUGAAUUUUCCUACAACAACANUUAUCACACGAGCAUAAAGGCUGCUCCAUUCGAGGCCCUCUAUGGCCGAAAGUGCAUAUCCCCUCUAUGUUGGGCUGAGGUGGGUGAUAUACAGUUAGCUAAAGGACGAACUCCUGACAACACUCUCAUAGGUCCGAAGAUCAUACGGGAAACGACAGAGAAGAUCGUUCAGAUUCGUGAACGAUUGAAAGCCUGUAGAGACCGACAGAAAAGCUACGCUGAUAAACGAAGGAAACCGUUGGAAUUCCAGGUGGGCGACCGCGUUCUAUUGAAGGUCUCACCUUGGAAGGGCUUGAUACGCUUUGAAAAGCGUGGAAAGCUAAAUCCAAGGUACAUAGGGCCUUUCGAGAUUCUCGCAAGAAUCGGCCAUGUAGCUUACAAACUUAACUUACCUCGCGAACUCAGUAAGGUACAUUCUACCUUCCAUGUCUCGAACUUGAAAAAGUGUCUGUCCGACGAGACUCUUGUUAUCCCACUCGACGAGAUCGAGAUCAACGAGAGCCUCAAGUUCGUGCAAGAACUAGUAGAGAUCAUGGACCGAGAGGUCAAGCAAACGAAGCAAAGCCGUAUCCCGAUAGUGAAGGUUCACUGGAACGCCAAGUGAGGACCGGAAUUCACUUGGGAGCGAGAAGAUCAGAUGAAAAUGAAAUAUCCUUGUCUUUUUACUUAGUUAUUUGUAACUACUUAUUUGCUUAAACUCUAAAUUCGGGACGAAAUUCCUUCUAAGGAGGGGAUGAUGUGACAACCCAAAAUUUCUAUUAUGUACAGCAUUUCCAUUCAAUAGAAGUCAGAAUAAUUUCUGGAAACUUUCAAGCUUUUUGGAAUAAGUUUGAGUAUUUUAGGAUUAAACAACUUUGGAGAUAUCAGGAGAGAGGAUGCCCUAGGGUUUAUUGUGCAACAAUAAAGUCCCGACACAUCAAAAGUUUAUAUUUUACGGCCUAAACAAGGAGUUUACAGUCGUAAACCCUAAAGGGAAGUGGUAUAAAGGUGACACUUAGUUAUUUUUACCAUUUUCCAACUUUCAAGAUCCAAAUCUCAAACUCUCUCAAGUAUCAUCCAAAAAAUUCUUCAAGAUCUUCAUCUAGUAAGUGUUUCUGGCACUUUCAAGUUAGAAUAUAACUUAAUCUAGUGAUUUAACACACUUCUAUCCAUGUAAUCUUUCCAAAAGGUUGAUUCUUCAAGUUUCACCAAGAACACACACUAGUAUUCUUGGACUUUUGGACCUUUUCAAGCUUCUAUAUUGUAAGUACUUCUAUCCUAGAGUAUGUUAAGGCUUGAUACAUUUCUUUAUACCAUGAAAACACCAUUGAAACCCAAGAUCAAAGGUGUUUACGGUCCAAGAACACCUUGGACCGUAAACCCUAAUUUAGAGGCCAAAGUGACCCUAGUCCCUUCACAAGCAUUGGAAACUAGUCUAGACUCAUUCCUUCAUAUGUUUAGGACUUUAAAACAUCAAAAUACCAUAUUCCAUAAGGGUUUACAGUAGUAAACCCAAAAGGAAAUGGUCUUAGUGCCGUAAACUCCUCAAAGGAGGGAAAUGGUGCCCUAAUCUCUUCCAAAGGCUUAACCAUCAAGUUGAAAUGUUUCUAAAGGACUUGUAGAGCUUCAAAACAAAAAAUGGUCAAAGGAGUAUGAGUUUACGACUGUAAACUCAAUGAGUGAUGGUCACAAAACCGUAAACUCAUUUAAGGGGGUUUCCUUGAACCCUAAAC
rnacentral:lncRNA from 1 species